CAUCCGACAAGAAAUCAAUUUUUACUCCACUUUUCGGUAAAUUUCUCCGUUUUAUCUAAACAGUUCCGGUCAAAAAGUAUUUUGAAAUUAGCACGAUCAAGUGAGUCAAGUUUAUGUUCGUCAAACUGAGCAGAGGAAAUGUCUCCAAGCUGGCGUUGUUGAGUAAGACCAUCAAGCAAGCUGCCUUGACACUUCUGUCAACUUCCUGUGUACAGAUCAAUUAACGUAGGCAGAGCGUCAGAUCUUCAAUCAUGAUGGCUGGCUGUCCAUCACACUCAGCAGAGAUGUGUCAAUCAAUCAAUGUUGAAGCAUCGCACAGUGGCAAGCUCACAUCUAAAGAUCAAGUGAACCAAGUCUCUGUUCGUCAAACUGAGUAGAGGAAAUGUCUCCAAGCUAUCGUUGUUGAAGCUCUGGAGACCGUCAAGCAAGCUGCCUUGACAACCCGGUCAACUUCCUGUGCACAGCUCAUCAACUAAUCCAGAAAUAUCCCUCCACUGAGUGAGAAAAUUAAGGAGAUUCGGUUGCUCUUUGCUGAUUACUGCUGCCUAUGACACCCAGAGCUGCCAGCCAAUAAAGUCAUGGUGUGGGAGCCAACCCAAGGCAGAUCUGUGCCAUCCCGGAAGACCACCAAGACCAUGCUCAAACAUGGGGCAACGAGACAACUUGGCAAGACCAUGCUCAAACAUGGGGCAACGAGACAACUUGGGUCGACUGAGUGAGUGAGAAAUCCAGACAGAGAGUGUCCAACCGAUCAUCGCCUCGAGCAGUCAUCAAACCCUUGUGCAGAUCAAAAUCCAGACAGAGAGUGUCGGAUCUUGCAAGGAGUCAGCGACCAUCACUGGUAGAGAUGCACAACCUCUUUGUAUACUUUGUAAUUAUUUGUGUAUUAUAGGAAUGUAAUUAUAAUUAAUUGUGUGGUGAAUCACUCACACUUUUUGUUGUGUGGUGAACUGCUUACACUUUUUGUUGU